UCCUUCGUAGUACAGUGGUCAGUAUAUCCGCUUUUCAUGCUCUUGUAACGCGGACGACCCGGGUUCGAACCCCGGCGAGGGAA